UACGAAGGGGGCUAGCGUUGCUCGGAAUCACUGGGCGUAAAGCGCACGUAGGCGGACUCUUAAGUCGGUGGUGAAAUCCUGGAGCUCAACUCCAGAACUGCCUUCGAUACUGAGAGUCUCGAGUCCGAGAGAGGUGAGUGGAACUGCGAGUGUAGAGGUGAAAUUCGUAGAUAUUCGCAAGAACACCAGUGGCGAAGGCGACAUACUGGUCCAUUACUGACGCUGAGGCUCGAAAGCGUGGGGAGCAAACAGG
rnacentral:rRNA from 1 species